rnacentral:misc_RNA from 1 species
UAAUAAGUGUUUUAUGGCACUUUUUAAAUCCAUAUCCACCUUGUGUGCAAUGUCAGUCGAUCCUCUUCAUGGAGAUCGACCAAACAUCAACCUUUAUUUUUUAACUCUUUGUCUGAAAAAUAUUAUGAAUAAACAAUUCAAAAUA